rnacentral:lncRNA from 1 species
UCUCCAGCUUCCCCAAGCUGGCUCAGGCCGAGGGAACAGAGGACGCUUGGGGACAGGAGGAGCUGCAGAAGCAGAACUGAGACUCAGAGACCAUGGAGGGGGUGGAGGCUGAGUCUUCCUGGGCUGAGCAGGGGGAACUCCAGCCCCCAAUUGCCCAAAUGAGCUUCAGGAAAGGCUCUGGGCCUUACUCAGACAACGCUUCCCCACCGCCGCUCCCCCUCGGACAGGCCCCGUGCUGGAUGCAUUAGAAGACAGACUUCAGCUCCAAGCCAGCAGCCGGCAACACUGAAUAUUCAUGCCUCGACUUCCACGCUUUUCAAUUAAACACAAUAAAGUAAAUUCCCGUCAAAA